UUGUUCUCAGGAAGGCGAAAUAUUCUUCCAUUUUCAGCCCAGCAGAGUGGAAUUUAUACCCAAACAUCCUCAUCAGAUUGACAAAGCAUCCUGCAGGGACAUCAUGGAGCUCAUUUAAUCUCUGGGAGAGGUGUUUGAUGUGUGGAAGGGUAAUGCCAGGACUUCAGCCACAGAAGUCUUGGCUUUCUGGCAUGAGCAAUAAGAGCUGACAAGAUCCAAGCCUCCUUUGGCAUUGCAUUUCAUAAGGUUCUUCAGCAAAAAAAGAGCAAAAUUUAGCAUUAAUUCAUUUGGUAAACAUCUAGUGAACCUCUACUAUGUGCAAAUCUUUGGACGGUUAGAGACAAAAUGAACAUAGAGCCCCAAACAGAAAAAUGACAAGAAUUGUGUGAACUUUGACAUUGGAACUAUGAAAAGCAACAAGAAGAAGAAGCAGAUGGAUCUCUCCUUACACAAUCAUUUCCCACCUUGUCCUUGUUCUCGGGUCACUAACACAGACGUUGUAUCUGUUGUGUGCGUGGCACCUUAGUCUCCUCCAGGUACCAUUGUGGAAAUGAAGGGAGAGAAGCACAAGCCUCUACUGUCAUUUCUUAAAGAACAAGAGAGUAUUCACUUGCUUUUCUUUAGACUUCAAAUUUUGUUUUAUAAAACACAGACAUGCAUAUGUAUGCACUUACCACCUCUCCAACAGUAGCUAAGCCUAUUACCCCACUCCAUUUGGAAAAAGAAAGAAAGAAAGAAAGAAAGAAAGAAAGAAAGAAAGAAAGAAAGAAAGAAAGAAACCAGGUUUACUGGAGAAUGCAGAUUACAGAGCAGGGCUGAAGUAGUUGCUUUCACCACUAAAGCAAAAAUCAAUGGCUCACCUGUACUGUUCCCACAAUGGAAGCCUUUAGUUUUCCAGAAGCGUGUGAAGCCAAGCGCCUGCAAGCUUGAAAUGCCCUCUGUGUCACCAGCAGCUGCUCCUUCAAGGCUGGAAAAUAUCUCUGAAUACAAUUACCUGUGCUCUGCUGAGCAGGGAAAGGUCACAGAUGGAGGGACUGUGGAAUUCAUCAUCAACAUGCUUUUCGUGAUAAGGAGAAAGCAGACCACAUUACAGGGAGCAGGGGAAGCCUGCAGAUUUCAGCACGAUGAGAGUGAGAAACCACAAAGAUAUAGUAGUUAGAGUAUAACAAGCCUAAUGAAAGGAGAUAGGCUUUAAAAUUGGCACGUGUCACCUUCUCUGCCCUCAUUAAUACUAGAUCUUAUUGCUAACACCAGAACGGCACAGACCUCUGUGGCCGAAGUGCUGGCAUCAUCUGUCCACGCAUCCAGCAUCAGCCAGCUGGACAGGCAAAGUGGAGGAAGGGACCGGGUGACCAGCGUGCGCGGUACAGAGAAGCCCAAGUGAGGGCCCAGGGAGCAGCCGCGGUGUGUCCCCAGUGACCUCGUCUCUGCGAAGAUCACACGCAGAGCUGCCCAACACGUGGCCGGGAAACUGAAGCUGGACUCCCUGACAACAAUGAUGAAUCUAAAUUCAACAACCAUUAACCAAGGAUUUGUUGAUUUAUAUGGACUUGAGGGAAGAUAUUAUCUCUUCGACUAAGUUUGUUCUCGAUAAGUUCUUAAUCCUCAAGACCAGGAAAAAUAGAGUAUUUUUAGACUGAGCUUGGUAUAAGAAAAUUCCCCAUCAUUUUUUUCCCAUUGCUUUCCAAUUUAUAGAAAAAUAAAACCAAAAUAAAAAUAAUGGCAUUUAUUCUACUCUGCCCUGUACUGUA